rnacentral:rRNA from 1 species
GACGAACGCUGGCGGCGUGCUUAACACAUGCAAGUCGAACGGAAAGGCCCUGCUUUUGUGGGGUGCUCGAGUGGCGAACGGGUGAGUAACACGUGAGUAACCUGCCCUUGACUUUGGGAUAACUUCAGGAAACUGGGGCUCAUACCGGAUAUGAGCUCCUGCUGCAUGGUGGGGGUUGGAAAGUUUCGGCGGUUGGGGAUGGACUCGCGGCUUAUCAGCUUGUUGGUGGGGUAGUGGCUUACCAAGGCUUUGACGGGUAGCCGGCCUGAGAGGGUGACCGGCCACAUUGGGACUGAGAGACGGACCAGACUCCUACGGGAGGCAGCAGUGGGGAAUAUUGCACAAUGGGCGGAAGCCUGAUGCAGCAACGCCGCGUGCGGGAUGACGGCCUUCGGGUUGUAAACCGCUUUCGCCUGUGACGAAGCGUGAGUGACGGUAAUGGGUAAAGAAGCACCGGCUAACUACGUG